rnacentral:rRNA from 1 species
CAGCAGCCGCGGGAAUACGUAGGGUGCGAGCGUUAAUCGGAAUUACUGGGCGUAAAGCGUGCGCAGGCGGUUUUGUAAGACAGGCGUGAAAUCCCCGGGCUCAACCUGGGAAUGGCGCUUGUGACUGCAAAGCUAGAGUGCGGCAGAGGGGGAUGGAAUUCCGCGUGUAGCAGUGAAAUGCGUAGAUAUGCGGAGGAACACCGAUGGCGAAGGCAAUCCCCUGGGCCUGCACUGACGCUCAUGCACGAAAGCGUGGGGAGCAAACAGGAUUAGAUACCCGUGUAGUCCCUGUCUCUUAUAC